CCUACGGGUGGCUGCAGUGAGGAAUAUUGGUCAAUGGGCGCGAGCCUGAACCAGCCAAGUAGCGUGAAGGAUGACUGCCCUACGGGUUGUAAACUUCUUUUAUAAAGGCAUAAAGUGAGGCACGUGUGCCUUUUUGUAUGUACUUUAUGCAUAAGGAUCGGCUAACUCCGUGCCAGCAGCCGCGGUAAUACGGAGUAUCCGAGCGUUUUCCGGAUUUAUUGGGUUUAAAGGUAGCGUCGAUGGGUUGUUAAGUCAGUUGUGAAAGUUUGCGGCUCACCCGUAAAAUUGCAAUUGAUACUGGCAGCCUUGAGUACAGUUGAGGUAGGCGGAAUUCGUGGUGUAGCGGUGAAAUGCUUAGAUAUCACGAAGAACUCCGAUUGCGAAGGCAGCUUACUAAACUGCCACUGACAUUGAUGCUCGAAAGUGUGGGUAUCAAACAGGAUUAGAUACCCCUAGUAGUC
rnacentral:rRNA from 1 species